GCGCCCGUAGCUCAGCUGGAUAGAGCGCACCCCUCCUAAGGGUGAGGCCACAGGUUCAAAUCCUGUCGGGCGCACCA
rnacentral:tRNA from 1 species